GAUGAAGAACGUAGCGAAAUGCGAUAAGUAAUGUGAAUUGCAGAAUUCAGUGAAUCAUCGAAUCUUUGAACGCACCUUGCGCCCUUUGGCCAUUCCGAAGGGCAUGCCUGUUUGAGUAUCAUGAACACCUCAACUCUCAUGGCUCGCCAUGAUGAGCUUGGAUUUGGGGGUCUUGCUGGCCUGUGGUCGGCUCCUCUCAAAUGGAUCAGCUUGCCAGUGUUUGGUGGCAUCACAGGUGUGAUAACUAUCUGCGCUUGUGGUUUUCCAUCAGAUAACCUUCAGUGAUGGAGGUUCGCUGGAGCUCAUAAACGUCUCCCCUAAGCGGGGACAGCCCUUUGAAUGUUUGAUCUCAAAUCAGGUAGGACUACCCGCUGAACUUAAGCAUAUCAAUAAGCGGAGG
rnacentral:misc_RNA from 1 species